rnacentral:ribozyme from 1 species
CUUUUUUUUUUUUUUUUUUUUUUUUUUUUUUUUUUUUUUUUUUUUUUUC